UGCUGUCCAGAACAACUAUAAAACUGGAGAAAGACUCAGCUGUUAAACACUACACUGGAAAUGAAGUUUUGAAGUGGGUGCACGUUGACCAGGAGAAAGUGUGCAUUAACUUGAGGGGAAAGGGUCCAGUGAAUUCCAAGAACAGCAGGAGGAGUCUAAAAAGAAGUCGUGUCCUGCUGACGUAUUAAGAAUUUACAGAUGCACUGGGAUGGUGGCUGUAGGGAAGUCGUGAAGUGUAAGGGAGACUGGGUGGGGAGAAGGGUCUUUAACUCUAUGAGGGGGUGCCCAUACACAUUAAUGUAGAGGAGAUAACAUCUUGUUCUGUCUUGGAAAGAGACCACAUUGGUUCAUGGGACUGUCUACUGCCCUGAGGACAAGUGCCCAAUAAAGGCUACUGACAGGCUGACUGCAGCUGGAGAGGGUCACCAAGAUGACUCAGAGGGCACUCUACAGAGUCCUACUGCCCGCACAGGGUCAUUUUGCUGCAGAGUUCAAGAAGACACAGCUGUUGGAUCUGAUGACUGCCUUCACACAGCAGGGACUGUCACUUCAGGUAUCAACCAGACUAUGGAAAAGCUUAAUGAAAUAAUGCACAAAAGACUCAUAAGCAUCAGUGAAAUCUCUCAAGUAACCAAGCACCUUAUUUAUGAAAGAGCUCAGAUACUAUUACUUCUUAAGCCUUCGUCUGGAGGAAUCCAUCAAUGUCCUUUUUCAAACUCUAAAAACACUCUCCAAAGAAGAAAGGCUAACUCUGUUCUGUGA
rnacentral:lncRNA from 1 species